AUUGAACGCUGGCGGCAGGCCUAACACAUGCAAGUCGAGCGGAUGAAGGGAGCUUGCUCCUGGAUUCAGCGGCGGACGGGUGAGUAAUGCCUAGGAACCUGCCUGGUAGUGGGGGAUAACGUCCGGAAACGGGCGCUAAUACCGCAUACGUCCUGAGGGAGAAAGGGGGGGAGCUUCGGACCUCACGCUAUCAGAUGAGCCUAGGUCGGAUUAGCUAGUUGGUGGGGUAAAGGCCUACCAAGGCGACGAUCCGUAGCUGGUCUGAGAGGAUGAUCAGUCACACUGGAACUGAGACACGGUCCAGACUCCUACGGGAGGCAGCAGUGGGGAAUAUUGGACAAUGGGCGAAAGCCUGAUCCAGCCAUGCCGCGUGUGUGAAGAAGGUCUUCGGAUUGUAAAGCACUUUUAGUUGGGAAGAAGAGCAGUAAGUUAAUACCUCGCUGUUUUGACGGUACCAACAGAAUAAGCACCGGCUAACUUCGUG
rnacentral:rRNA from 1 species